GGUCACGUGUCCCUUGUUUACCUUCGGUGUGCAGACCGCGCAUCUCAGCCCUUUCCUGUUCUGAGGGAGUAGCGCUGCUGCCGCGGGCUGUGAGCGGGCGGGCAGCUUCCCUGGGAGGAGGGGAAGCACUCAGCAGUGAGGGAAGGCUUACAAUGUCACUGCCAACAAAGAGGUGCGGAAGACCCCCAGUGUUGUCUUUCUUGGAAAAGAAAAAGAGAAAACAAAGUCUUGAUAGGAGGAGAGGAAAAACCAGGAUUUAUGUGGGAAAUCAUAUUGACCGAUGGCUGACACUGAAGGAAAAACUGGAUUUCAGGAACGAUGCAGAAGUUGCUGGAUUUUUAUUGGACUUGUAUGACAGCUAUGACCCGCUGACAAAAGCUCCCAUCUGUUCCCUCCCUGGGGGUGUGAGAAGAAUUUCUGUGAAAGAAGAAAGAGCACUUUCAGGCAGCGCUUGCUUAAUAGCAGCUGAUGGAACGUAUGAUGAUGGUGACCGGCUGUCUGAAGAGGCUGCCUGCUCUGAAUAUGGAGACUACAGAAUUGUCACUGUGAAGGAAGAGCGAGAGACUCCACCUCAUUGCUCAUCAGUGAAGACAGAUAACACGGGAUGAUCACUCCAGUAACAGUGAGGGAAGCAUCUGGGAGAGUUUUUGGAAGAGUUCCUUAGAGUAUACACAGCAAACUUCUUGUUCAUUGACUUGUUUUCCUGAAGUCUGUGAAUGGAACAAGAAAAUAGCUAAUACGUGUGGAAUAUUGGCUACCUUAGUAAAUAACGAGGUUUUCAGUCAUGCAGUAUCCAGGCACGUGUAUACUUUAACAUUUUAGAAAAGAAAAAUGUUUCUUUGUUGACUGUUCAAGUGAUAACGCAUACGAAGUGAUGCAUAAACCUACUUAGAAGUAGUGCCGUGCUCAAGGAGGCAACCACGCCAUCAGUCGACUGCUGAUGUCUUUUACUGCAGUGUCAUCAGUAACUGAGGCAUUCACAGUUGAGAGAUCAGAGGAGCCUCGAAUAGGGGGACACUGAGAACCUAGGACAGUGCAUUGGCAUUGCAUGGUGUGUCCAAACCCUUCGCUAACAUAAAUAGGUGAAUGUGUUGGGCUUCUGGAAGUAAUGCCCUGGCUCAGAAGAAUGACUGGAAGCUGAAUCAGGAGAAAACAAAUACCAGUGCUGGAGAAGCUGAAAAUUUCAAGUGCAUUCUUCAAAACAGCACUUUUCAAGGAUAAUAUUGUUUUAGGUUGGAGUGCUACAAUACUUUAAUUCCUGGGACUGACUUUCUACAGGUAACCAGCAAGAAGAAAAUCAAGCACUUGAAUAAUGACCUUGGGGCAGUUCUUGGUCCUUUUUGGUUUUGCUGUGAGGGUUUUGUGAGUUAUAAAGAAUGACUGUAAGUUCUAGUAUGAAAUCCCAUGUAUAUUGUUGAACAACUAAUUAAACUUCAAUUAC
rnacentral:lncRNA from 7 species